rnacentral:rRNA from 1 species
UGGGGAAUAUUGCACAAUGGGCGCAAGCCUGAUGCAGCCAUGCCGCGUGUGUGAAGAAGGCCUUCGGGUUGUAAAGCACUUUCAGCGAGGAGGAAGGUGGUGAACUUAAUACGUUCAUCAAUUGACGUUACUCGCAGAAGAAGCACCGGCUAACUCCGUGCCAGCAGCCGCGGUAAUACGGAGGGUGCAAGCGUUAAUCGGAAUUACUGGGCGUAAAGCGCACGCAGGCGGUUUGUUAAGUCAGAUGUGAAAUCCCCGGGCUCAACCUGGGAACUGCAUUUGAAACUGGCAAGCUAGAGUCUCGUAGAGGGGGGUAGAAUUCCAGGUGUAGCGGUGAAAUGCGUAGAGAUCUGGAGGAAUACCGGUGGCGAAGGCGGCCCCCUGGACGAAGACUGACGCUCAGGUGCGAAAGCGUGGGGAGCAAAACAGGAUUAGAUACCCUGGUAGUCCACGCUGUAAACGAUGUCGAUUUUGGAGGUUGUGCCCUUGAGGCGUGGCUUCCGGAGCUAACGCGUUAAAUGACCGCCUGGGGAGUACGGCCGCAAGGUUAAAACUCAAAUGAAUUGACGGGGUC